AUAAAGGCGUAAGUUUAGAACUUUAAGUUAUUCAUUCUAAUAUAAUCAUCAAUUAAUAAAUUCUAAAAGCUUAAAUUAUAAUUUUUUUUAAUGUCUUUAACAGUGCAUAUGCAAAUAUUAGUUCAAAUGCUAUUGUAUUUGGCAAAAAUGGACCGAGAUAUGGACCUUUGCUUGUCCAAAGCAACCAUACAAUUACGAAUGUGGUUACUAUGUACUAACUUACAUUCGUGAUAUGCUUCAACAUUCAAAUCCCAUUGAAGCCAUAAAAGCAAAAUUUGGCGGCCUAUCCCAAUAUUCUGAGGACGAUCAUCUCUUACCGCUUCGACAACAGUGGUUAAGUCAAUUGCUUCCCUUGAUAUAUAAAAAUUAACUAGUAGUCUUUUAUUGUAUUUUUUUAGACAAUGUGUAGUAUUUAAUUUAGAGAUUUAUGCAUAAUAUGUAAAGUGUUAUUUAGAAUUGAACUUACAAAUUAUUAUUGUUGUUAUUAAAAAUGAUAUUAAUCAUUUAUUUUAAA